GACGAACGCUGGCGGCGUGCCUAAUACAUGCAAGUAGAACGAGUUGCGAACGGGUGCGUAACGUGUGGUAACCUGCCUCAUAGCGGGGGAUAACUCCCGGAAACGGUAGCUAAUACCGCCUACCAUCCGGUUUGCCCCGAAGGGAUUAGCUAGUUGGUGGGGUAACGGCUCACCAAGCCGACGAUCCCUAGCUGGUUUGAGAGGAUGACCAGCCACACUGGAACUGGUACACGGUCCAGACUCCUACGGGAGGCAGCAGUGGGGAAUAUUGCACAAGGGGCGCAAGCCUGAUGCAGCCAUGCCGCUUGUAUGAAGAAGGCCUUCGGGUGGUAAAGUACUUCCAGCGGGGAGGCGUUACCCGCAGAAGAAGCACCGGCUAACUCCGUGCCAGCCGCCGCGGUAAUAC
rnacentral:rRNA from 1 species